AAUCUCAGUAACGGACUUAGGAGUCUCCCACUGUGAUACCGCUUCAACUUUAGACGGAUCCACUGCAAUACCAUCACCAGAAAUAACAUGGCCUAGAAAACUCACUUCUUUCAACCAGAAUUCACACUUAGACAAUUUAGCAUAAAGCUUCUUCUCUUUCAACACUUGCAAAACAAUCUUCAGAUGCUCAGCAUGUUCUUCUUCAGUCUUGGAGUA
rnacentral:lncRNA from 1 species